UACGUAGGGGGCAAGCGUUGUCCGGAAUCAUUGGGCGUAAAGCGCGUGUAGGCGGCCCGGUAAGUCCGCUGUGAAAGUCGGGGGCUCAACCCUCGAAUGCCGGUGGAUACUGUCGGGCUAGAGUGCGGAAGAGGCGAGUGGAAUUCCUGGUGUAGCGGUGAAAUGCGCAGAUAUCAGGAGGAACACCGAUGGCGAAGGCAGGUCACUGGGCCGCAACUGACGCUGAGGAGCGAAAGCAUGGGGAGCGAACAGG
rnacentral:rRNA from 1 species